rnacentral:rRNA from 1 species
UGAACGCUGGCGGCAGGCCUAACACAUGCAAGUCGAGCGAGAAAGCACUUCGGUGCGAGUACAGCGGCGGACGGGUGAGUAACGCGUAGGAAUCUACCCAGUAGUGGGGGACAACAUGGUGAAAACCAUGCUAAUACCGCAUACGCCCCAAGGGGGAAAGCGGGGGAUCUUCGGACCUCGCGCUAUUGGAUGAGCCUGCGUAGGAUUAGCUUGUUGGUGAGGUAAAAGCUCACCAAGGCGACGAUCCUUAGCUGGUCUGAGAGGAUGAUCAGCCACACUGGGACUGAGACACGGCCCAGACUCCUACGGGAGGCAGCAGUGGGGAAUAUUGCGCAAUGGGCGGAAGCCUGACGCAGCCAUGCCGCGUGUGUGAAGAAGGCCUUAGGGUUGUAAAGCACUUUCAAUUGGGAAGAAAAGUUGAUGGUUAAUAGCCAUCAGCCCUGACAUUACCUUUAGAAGAAGCACCGGCUAACUCC